rnacentral:rRNA from 1 species
UACGUAGGGGGCAAGCGUUGUCCGGAAUUAUUGGGCGUAAAGAGCGUGUAGGCGGUCCGGUAAGUCAGCUGUGAAAGUCAAGGGCUCAACCCUUGAAUGCCGGUUGAUACUGUCGGGCUAGAGUCCGGAAGAGGCGAGUGGAAUUCCUGGUGUAGCGGUGGAAUGCGCAGAUAUCAGGAGGAACACCAAUAGCGAAGGCAGCUCGCUGGGACGUUACUGACACUGAGGCGCGAAAGCGUGGGGAGCGAACAGG